GAUGCAGAGACCUGCGCAGCCUCUCGCCUGCCCAGCUACUGCUUCAGAGCGUUACCAAAGAGAAACUUGAAAGGCGUUAUCAGUCCCACCACUGUCUAUCAAUACGUGGGGACCACCGAGAAGCAACAACGUGACGUGGGCGUUGCCGAGGAGAGGUCACCCUAUGGUCCCUUGCUGGGUCGGGAGGCAGAGAUUGACCGCUUUGAAUGCUGCUUGGAGGCCUAUGAGCAUUUGGAAGAACCACACGUCCUGGCAUUUGUGGGCAU